UUGUGAGUUCCUAAAGCCUGAGAGGAGCACAAAGCCUCUAAAAUACUAAAAGCAGAAAGAGGCAAUUCUCUCCAGAAAUCAAAGCCACUCUUCUUUAAUACCUAGCGAAAAACAACUAUAUGCUCUUUAUCCAACAUACACAGCUAGACUCCCAGAGAAAAGUAGGCUCCACACCCAGCAUGGAACCCAACCCAGGACUUCAAUUCACAACGCUGACAUCAAGAUCUGAGCUGAGAUCAAGAGUUGUCUGUGUAACCAACUGAGACAUCCAGGUGUCCCUGCUGUUGUUGUUUUUAAGACAUGCCAGACAGUCUUAAAGAAUGGUUUCAAGCUUCUUGAGUGAUCAUCUCAGAGAAAGGAUAUGAUAAGCUUUGAAAAAGCUGGCAUGUUGUGAAGAGGGCCACAUGGCAAGGAACUGAGGACGGUCUCCAGCCAAAAGAGUAAGAAACUAAGACCUUCAGUCUAACAACUUGCGAAAACUGACUGCUGCCAAUAACCACGUGAGCUGGAAGUGGAUCGUUCCUCAAUCAAACCUCAGAUGAGAAAAUAGCCCUGACCAACAACUUCGACUUACAGACUUGCACAAGACCUGGUAAACCCAUGCCGGAUUCCCAACCUCCAGAUAUUGUCAGGUAAUAAAUGUGUGU